rnacentral:rRNA from 1 species
CUUGUCGGGUAAGUUCCGACCCGCACGAAAGGCGUAAUGAUUUGGGCACUGUCUCAACGAGAGACUCGGUGAAAUUUUAGUACCUGUGAAGAUGCAGGUUACCCGCGACAGGACGGAAAGACCCCAUGGAGCUUUACUGCAGUUUGAUAUUGAGUAUCUGUACCACAUGUACAGGAUAGGUAGGAGCCAUUGACUUCGGGACGCCAGUUUCGAAUGAGGCGUUGUUGGGAUACUACCCUUGUGUUAUGGCUACUCUAACCCAGAUAGGUUAUCCCUAUCGGAGACAGUGUCUGACGGGCAGUUUGACUGGGGCGGUCGCCUCCUAAAGAGUAACGGAGGCGCCCAAAGGUUCCCUCAGAUUGGUUGGAAAUCAAUCGCAGAGUGUAAAGGUAUAAGGGAGCUUGACUGCGAGAGCUACAACUCGAGCAGGGACGAAAGUCGGGCUUAGUGAUCCGGUGGUACCGAAUGGAAGGGCCAUCGCUCA